UUGUGACCCCAUAGCACUCAGCCUCUAAGGAACUGGGGGAGGGACUUGCGCACUAGGGGAUAAACUGCUUGUUAAAACUGUACUGGGUGUGCCUGUCCAUCAAACACGGAUCUUGCAAGACUGUCAUUAAAAGUCUCACUUUCGCUGUUCUCCGGGUCUCUAAGUCCAUUCUUUGGGUUUGAAUGGUCCAAUACAAGUAUUCCCAGCAGUGGUGUCUCAACUAUCAUCUAGACUGCAAACGUCCUGAGAGGAGCCUCAUGUCUUCUUACAACAUCACAUGAAAGGAGCAGGCUAACUUGUUAGCUUCCAGAUAGUCUCCCACAUGCUGUCUUUCUGAUCAUGGAAAUCAACUUUCUUAAGAAGGCUAACCUCUUGGUUCAAGUGUGGCUGGUGGACUCCACCCCUGGCUGGGUUUUGGCAUCUGACGUUGGUAUAAAAGGUCUCAGCAUUGUAAGUAUAGGAAGGGUGGGGGCUUCCCAAUGACCUCACCCUUUCAUACAUGAAUAGGUCACUCCCAGAUAACAACCACUCUGAAACAUGCCAGCCGGAAGGGAAGGGUCAAUUUUAGAAAGUCAACAACCCCACUACCCAUUCAUUCAAUCAUGGGCCUCAAUGCCCUGAGAAAAUCAUUUUGCUAAACCAUGGUUUCACCUACUGUAACAUUAUGCAAAACACACUGUCAUCUCCCCAAGAGAUGUCAGGAAAGACAGACAAGUAGCCCUAAUUACAAUCAUAUUCGCAACAACAAAAAUGAGUAUAGAUAUGUGUCACAAGGGAUUUUUUUCUUCUCCCUUGACACUACUAUGUAUUAAAGAGACAACAGCUAACCUGAUAUUGCCCUUACUUCUCCUUGCUGGAAUUUUAUUGACAACUUAGUUUCCUUUCUGUGUUUCUUUAUUAACUAAAUCAGCACAAAACAUAGGCAACAGUAAACAUAAACUAUUUUUAUACAUGCAAAUUAGUGAUAAUACCUAUCCAGAGAGUCACUUUUCUAAUAUGGAGUGAUCCAAAGAAGGAUAAAGGUAGUCUAAAUGUCAGGGUCUUCAUUUGUUCUCCUAUCCUGCAAAUGGCCCUCAUGUAAGUUUCCUACAUUACACUUCCAAACAAAUUCAACUCUUUCAACAAGCCUGGCAUAUAGAG
rnacentral:lncRNA from 1 species